rnacentral:sRNA from 1 species
GACGCCGUGCCUUACAGCGACCGGCAGGGACUCGGUCGUCCCCGAGCCCAGCCGCCCUCCCAGCUCCGGCCAGGAUGUUGGAGGCUUCUCUAUCUGAGAUGUGCACAGAAAUCCAGACAGGACCAGUCGGCGCUAUGUGCUGCGUGCUGCCUCCUGACCAGUUUGUGUGACACCGUCGGGGCUGUUCUGGCCAGACAGCUCACAAUCCAGAUCGGGAAGCCCGAGAGAGGAAGAGGAGGCGGCAGCUCAGGGCCAGUGUGUUUGCCCUGGCCCUGCCGCUGAGCCUGGGCCCGUGCUGGGCUCUCUGGGUUGCUGUCCCGAAGGCUUCAGCCACCAUCCGGGGGCCGCAGCGGAGGCUGCUGGCGAGCCUGCUGCCGGAAAAUACUGAGAUCCUCGGCUACCUGCUGGGUAGCGUUGCCGCCUUUGGCUCCUGGGCUUCUCGGAUCCCCCCCCUCUCCAGAAUUUGCCGGGGAAAGACAUUUCCCUCCAUCCACCUGUGGACCCGGCUCCUGUCGGCCCUGGCUGGCCUCCUCUAUGCUUCAGCCAUUGUGGCCCACGACCGGCAGCCUGAGUACCUGCUGCGGGCCACACCCUGGUUCCUGACCUCCCUCGGCCGUGCAGCUCUGGACCUCGCUAUUAUUUUCCUUUCGUGUGUGAUGAAGAGCAAGAUGAGACAGGCCUUAGGAUUUGCCAAGGAAGCCAGAGAGAGCCCUGACACCCAAGCCCUUUUGACGUGUGCAGAGAAAGAGGAAGAAAACCAGGAGAAUUCGGAUUGGGUGCCUCUCACCACACUGUCACACUGCAAGUCACUGAGGACAAUGACAGCAAUCAGUCGCUACAUGGAGCUGACCAUCGAGCC